rnacentral:rRNA from 1 species
AGCACAGAGGAGCUUGCUCCUUGGGUGACGAGUGGCGGACGGGUGAGUAAUGUCUGGGAAACUGCCCGAUGGAGGGGGAUAACUACUGGAAACGGUAGCUAAUACCGCAUAACGUCGCAAGACCAAAGAGGGGGACCUUCGGGCCUCUUGCCAUCGGAUGUGCCCAGAUGGGAUUAGCUAGUAGGUGGGGUAACGGCUCACCUAGGCGACGAUCCCUAGCUGGUCUGAGAGGAUGACCAGCCACACUGGAACUGAGACACGGUCCAGACUCCUACGGGAGGCAGCAGUGGGGAAUAUUGGACAAUGGGCGCAAGCCUGAUCCAGCCAUACCGCGUGGGCGAAGAAGGCCUUCGGGUUGUAAAGCCCUUUUGUUGGGAAAGAAAUCCAGCUGGCUAAUACCCGGUUGGGAUGACGGUACCCAAAGAAUAAGCACCGGCUAACUUCGUGCCAGCCGCCGCGGUAAAAGGG